CUGAACCUUCGGGGAACGAUAACGGCGUCGAGCGGCGGACGGGUGAGUAAUGCCUAGGAAAUUGCCUUGAUGUGGGGGAUAACCAUUGGAAACGAUGGCUAAUACCGCAUAAUGCCUACGGGCCAAAGAGGGGGACCUUCGGGCCUCUCGCGUCAAGAUAUGCCUAGGUGGGAUUAGCUAGUUGGUGAGGUAAUGGCUCACCAAGGCGACGAUCCCUAGCUGGUCUGAGAGGAUGAUCAGCCACACUGGAACUGAGACACGGUCCAGACUCCUACGGGAGGCAGCAGUGGGGAAUAUUGCACAAUGGGCGAAAGCCUGAUGCAGCCAUGCCGCGUGUAUGAAGAAGGCCUUCGGGUUGUAAAGUACUUUCAGUUGUGAGGAAGGGGGUGUCGUUAAUAGCGGCAUCUCUUGACGUUAGCAACAGAAGAAGCACCGGCUAACUCCGUGCCAGCAGCCGCGGUAAUACGGAGGGUGCGAGCGUUAAUCGGAAUUACUGGGCGUAAAGCGCAUGCAGGUGGUUCAUUAAGUCAGAUGUGAAAGCCCGGGGCUCAACCUCGGAACUGCAUUUGAAACUGGUGAACUAGAGUACUGUAGAGGGGGGGUAGAAUUUCACGUGUAGCAGUGAAAUGCGUAGAGAUCUGAAGGAAUACCAGUGGCGAAUGCGGUCCCCUGGACAUAUACUGACAC
rnacentral:rRNA from 1 species